rnacentral:rRNA from 1 species
CCCUUAGAUGUUCUGGGCCGCACACGCGCUACACUAAAGGAGGCAGCGUGUACUCCUGGAUCGAAAGAUUUGGGUAACCCGCGAAUCUCCUUCGUGCUAGGGAUUGAGGUUUGCAAUUAUCCUUCAUGAACGAGGAAUUCCCAGUAAGUGCAAGUCAUAAGCUUGCGCUGACUACGUCCCUGCCCUUUGUACACACCGCCCGUCGCUACUACCGAUUGAAUGAUUUAGUGAGGACUUCGGACUGGGACCGAUGCGGCUUUCGGGCUGCGUCGGUAUUCUGGAAAGAUGUCCAAACUGUAUCAUUUAGAGGAAGUAAAAGUCGUAACA